GCCGGGUGUGGUGGUGCACACCUGUAGUCCCAGUCAUGUUCAGCUACCCUGGAGGCUGAGGCAGGAUCCGUUGAGACCAGCCUGGGCAACAUAGUGGUACCCUGUCUCGA
rnacentral:sRNA from 1 species